rnacentral:lncRNA from 1 species
AUUUGAAAGCUGGCCGCUGUUCAAACACAAUCGAGAUCCGUCUUCUGAGGCUAGCAAUGUGCAGAGAGGCGGCGAUCUGAUGGAUGUUGACAUGCUACUCACUGACGAGAAGAGAAGGUAAUCACUGCUGUAUUCUGUUAACCCUUUUGACGAUACCAGUUAUUCCAAUUGUGUAAUAUUUUAACGCUUAUGCAAGGAUCCGAGAGUGCGAACGUCUCAGCAAUUUCAGAGACCAUUUCAGUGAAGGCUCUGUUUCUGAGAGGUUAAGAGCUCCCAUUUUAUGUUUUCCUCUCGGCUCAAACCGCCGCCGAUGGACCGCGUCGAGAUGAGCGAUGGAGGUUGGGUGGUGGAAAGAACAUGAAGUAAUUUGUAUCUUAAUUGGUUCGGUGAUAUGCAAAAACCAAUAAGGUAACGGUUACACGACCAUUAUUUCCUUAUUACUCAUAUGGAUUUUUAAUCUGUAAUUACUUUUGCUCUAGAUUUAGUUUCUUACAAUUAUCUAUAUUGCUAUUGGGCUAGAGUUCGGCCACAACAAAACUGUUUAACUGGUUUAGUUGCUUAUCUUGAUGAGAAACCUUUGGUAGCUCAGUUUAUAGACAUGAAGAUCCCUAGAAACAUUAGUGCAAACCGUAAGGCUUUUAUAGGGGAGAUGGAUAAUAGAGGAGUUCUCCGAGACAGUUAGCAGAAUGAUAAAUGAACUAACAAGAGAAGCUUACUGAUAAUUGAUUCAUUUUCUAUGCAGCAUUGGCACUGACCUCACAAUACAAGACAUGAAGAACUGUACUCUAGCCUCUGUCUCCUAUAAGAAACAUUCUAUGUUCAACUGAUGAUCCCACUCAAUGGUUGCAUAAUAUUCUAAAUUCAUUUUCAUCACCAAAUAUUUGAUUUUUCUUUAACAGCUAUACAUAUGUUCAGGAGGAGCUUGCUAUCUGUGAGGAUAUAGAUCAGAUAGAACUGCAAGGUCUCAAAGAUAUACUCUGGCUUCUGUGGGUAGUAGUACG